CUGCCUUUAAAACUGUUAGUCUUGAGAUCGAGAGAGGUGAGUGGAAUUCCAAGUGUAGAGGUGAAAUUCGUAGAUAUUUGGAGGAACACCAGUGGCGAAGGCGGCUCACUGGCUCGAUACUGACGCUGAGGUACGAAAGUGUGGGGAGCAAACAGGAUUAGAUACCCUGGUAGUCCACACCGUAAACGAUGAAUGCCAGACGUCAGCAAGCAUGCUUGUUGGUGUCACACCUAACGGAUUAAGCAUUCCGCCUGGGGAGUACGGUCGCAAGAUUAAAACUCAAAGGAAUUGACGGGGGCCCGCACAAGCGGUGGAGCAUGUGGUUUAAUUCGACGCAACGCGCAGAACCUUACCAACCCUUGACAUACUUGUCGCGGAUUCCAGAGAUGGAUUCCUUCAGUUCGGCUGGACAAUGUACAGGUGCUGCAUGGCUGUCGUCAGCUCGUGUCGUGAGAUGUUCGGUUAAGUCCGGCAACGAGCGCAACCCACGUCCUUAGUUACCAGCAUUUAGUUGGGUACCCUAAGGAGACUGCCGGUGAUAAGCCGGAGGAAGGUGUGGACGACGUCAAGUCAUCAUGGCCCUUACGGGUUGGGUUACACACGUGCUACAAUGGCAUCUACAGUGAGUUAAUCUCCAAAAGAUGUCUCAGUUCGGAUUGGGGUCUGCAACUCGACCCCAUGAAGUUGGAAUCGCUAGUAAUCGCGGAACAGCAUGCCGCGGUGAAUACGUUCCCGGGCCUUGUACACACCGCCCGUCACACCAUGGGAAUUGGGUCUACCCGAAGGUGGUGCGCCAACUAUUUAUAGAGGCAGCCAACCACGGUAGGUUCAGUGACUGGGGUGAAGUCGUAACAAGGUAACCGUA
rnacentral:rRNA from 1 species